rnacentral:lncRNA from 12 species
AGAAUAGAGAGUGGGGAGAGAAGCAGAGAAUCACACUACACAUAAAUCAGGCACCAUCAAGAUCAAGAUGGGCAUGUUCAUAUCAGCUGUCUCUUCACAGUGGUGCAUGCCAGCUAUUAUCUCCGGGUUAUCCACGGAGCAGGAUUCCUAUAAAAUGACCUAAGCCGCUUAGCUCCCAGAAAACUCGGGUUGCAGCAGAGGUGACAGAGGAGGCUACUGCUUGUUUACUUACAGCCCAUGGAGCCGCCAGCCACCACAGCUUCAGCAUUAUCAAUAUGGAUUUUGAAAUCACCCACAGCUAAUAGCCCAAAUUAAUAGCCUCGGGGUGACUCCAGA